rnacentral:rRNA from 1 species
UACGAAGGGUGCAAACGUUGCUCGGAAUCAUUGGGCGUAAAGCGCACGUAGGCGGCCUGUUAAGUCGGAUGUGAAAUCCCUCGGCUCAACCGAGGACGUGCAUACGAAACUGGCAGGCUCGAGUAUGGAAGAGGGUCGCGGAAUUCCCGGUGUAGAGGUGAAAUUCGUAGAUAUCGGGAGGAACACCAGUGGCGAAGGCGGCGACCUGGGCCAAUAUUGACGCUGGGGUGCGAAAGCGUGGGGAGCAAACAGG